GACUUGGGGAUAGAGAAUACGGGAACUUAUACCUUCAUCUCAGACAGGCAGAAGGUGUGUUAGAGGCUGUCCACUAAAGAAACAAGCACCUCCAGAAGGGGGAGAAGAACAGGAAGGAGGCAGCAAGAAGUGGGAACCUCCAAGAACAAGGUGUUCCUACUGCAAGGAACAAGGACACAACUUAAGAACUUGCACUUCUAAGAAAGUGGAUGAAGACAGAAAAAGGAAGGAAGAAGAGACUCAACAGAGUGAAGAGGAAUUGCAGCAAAAACUGGCAGAGCUUCAAAGAGCUCAGAAUGAAUUGUAUGCACAAAAUCAUCCCAAUCCUUCACCAACAAAGUCACCAAGAACCAAGGGAACUGCAGGGCUCCAUCCCAGAUCAACCCCUUUUCAGUUUGCAAGGCCAGUUGCAACACAUGGAGGAAUUGUAAAGCCCUUUAAAGCACCAGCUCAAUCAGGACCUUCAGGGGUGGAAUAUUUUCAGAAGGAUGGGAAGAACUAUGCAACUCUUGGACAACUACAAGCUGCAUUGAGGAAGGGGAAGAAGUAAUAUGGUCUUGAAGUGGCUAAGACAAUAAUUUAUCUACUUGUAUUAAGACUAAGAUUUGGUACUUCGUAUGUCUCUUUUGUGCUUGAAUUUGGUACUUGAUUUCGAGACUAAUAUUUCGUACUUGUAUUAUGACUAAGAUUUGGCAAUCUCUUUUGUAAGAUAAUCACUGCAUUUAUGCUACCAUCUGUCUUGGUUUUGACAGUUUUUAAUCUAUUCAAAAUUUCUUGUUUUCUAGCA